rnacentral:snRNA from 1 species
GAAGGCUGGGAAGAGGUCUGGCAAAAGCACGGCAAAUGGUUUGAUCCACUCGUACAUCCAUGCCGGCUCCAAGUUAGGUAUAAUGCUGGAAGUCAAUU